rnacentral:rRNA from 1 species
CCUACGGGCGGCUGCAGUGAGGAAUAUUGGUCAAUGGACGAGAGUCUGAACCAGCCAAGUAGCGUGAAGGAUGACUGCCCUAUGGGUUGUAAACUUCUUUUGUAAAGGAGUAAAACGAGGCACGUGUGCCUUGUUGCAUGGACUUAAUGAAUAAGGAUCGGCGAACUACGUUCCAGGAGCCACGGGAAUACCUAGGGGUCAAGGGGUAUCCGGAGUUACUGGGGGUAAGGGGGGCGUAGACGGCAGCACAAGUCUGGAGUGAAAGGCGGGGGCUUAACCCCUGAACUGCUUUGGAAACUGUCGGGCUGGAGUGCUGGAGAGGUAAGCGGAAUUCCUAGUGUAGCGGUGAAAUGCGUAGAUAUUAGGAGGAACACCGGUGGCGAAGGCGGCUUACUGGACUGUAACUGACGUUGAGGCUCGAAAGCGUGGGGAGCAAACAGGAUUAGAUACCCGAGUAGUC